CCGCACACCACCUGAUAUCAAUGUCUGAUGUUUCACCUUGGAUAGGCCCAGGUCACCAACCUUGAGGCACAAGUAGCAAGGUAUUCCAUUCCAAAAGCCGCAUCCAUAGCAAUUAAGAGGCGCUUACGCUUGUCAAGACUCCUGCAUCAAUGGUAUUUUAUGAUUCUGAAAUAUAAUAAAUGGGUGCAGAUGUACAACUAAGUUCAAAUAAGUUAAACAUAUAAACGGAGAAAACAAAUGUUACUUCUCGUUCUUCAGCAAA